rnacentral:rRNA from 1 species
GACGAACGCUGGCGGCGUGCCUAAUACAUGCAAGUAGAACGCAGUUGCGAACGGGUGAGUAACGCGUAGGUAACUGCCUCAUAGCGGGGGAUAACUAUUGGAAACGAUAGCUAAUACCGCAUACUGUGCGAUGGACCUGCGUUGUAUUAGGUAGUUGGUGAGGUAAAGGCUCACCAAGGCGACGAUCCAUAGCCGACCUGAGAGGGUGAUCGGCCAACACGGGACUGAGAAAAGGCCCAGAACCCGACGGGAGGCAGCAGUAGGGAAACUUCGGCAAUGGACGGAAGUCUGAACGAGGAAAGGCGCGGGAGUGAAGAAGGUUUUCGGAGCGUAAAGCUCUGUUGUUAGAGAAGCGGUAACUAACGAGAAAGGGACGGCUAACUACGUGCCAGCAGCCGCGGUAAUAC